GUGCUCGCUUUGGCAGCACAUAUACUAAAAUUGGAACGAUACAGAGAUUAGCAUGACCCCUGUGCAAGAUGACAUGGAAAUUCAUGACACGUUCCAUAUUUUU